rnacentral:misc_RNA from 1 species
ACACAGGUCGCGGCGUAGCU